rnacentral:tRNA from 1 species
GUAUAGUUAGCCAAGUGGUCGAAGGCAGCAGGCUGUUAACCUGCCGUGAGAAAUCCCAUCGCAGGUUCGAUUCCUGCACUAUACG